GCCAUGACCAAGUCUAGGUCUAUCCUUUGCUGUGCCUCAUCUGGAUUCUAUAGCUACCUUGUGAAACUGAAAUCCAGACUCAUCAGACCAGGCAACAUUCUUCCAGUCUUCAACUGUCCAAUUUUGAACACACAGCUGAGUCCAAGCCCAUUAGAGUCACCAAGAACAUCCAAGAAAAUCAGUCUUCCUCGACGACUCACUUCAAUGCUAUACAUCAAUAUUGAAUUUUAUGUUAUUAUUCUGUUAUUUGAUGUUAAACAAAACCCCUUUGCUUGCAAUGAAACAACCCUUUGCUGAUUUAUGGAAAUAAUGUUAGCAUAAUAUUAUACAUGCAGUUGAUGCUGCUAUGUGUGAUGUAGGAUUAAAU
ensembl:lncRNA